AUUGAACGCUGGCGGCAGGCUUAACACAUGCAAGUCGAACGAGUGGCGGACGGGUGAGUAAUGUUUGGGAAUCUGGCUUAUGGAGGGGGAUAACGACUGGAAACUGUCGCUAAUACCGCGUACCAUAGGAUGAGCCCAAGGGGGAUUAGGUAGUUGGUGGGGUAAUGGCCAACCAAGCCGACGAUCCCUAGCUGGUCUGAGAGGAUGACCAGCCAAGCCGGAACUGAGACACGGCCCGGAAUCCUACGGGAGGCAGGAGUGGGGAAUAUUGCGCAAUGGGGGCAACCUGACGCAGCCAUGCCGCGUGAAUGAAGAAGGCCUUGGGGUUGUAAAGUACUUUCGGUGACGAGGCGUUAAUCACAGAAGAAGCACCGGCUAACUCCGUGCCAGCAGCCGCGGUAAUUC
rnacentral:rRNA from 1 species